GGGGUAUCAUACUAGUUAGAACUGGUCCUUGUAUAUUCUGAGUAAUUUACGUUGUCAUGGAUUAGUGAGUUUUGAAUGAAUAAAUGCACCUUCUUGUCCAUCUUGAAAGAGUUUUGGGGAAAAGAAAAAAACAAGAUUGUGUUCGCAUAAAUAAUCUCAACCCACCAUGCACUCAAAUUAUUGGGGUAAAAAAUUGUUAGCACAACUAAUCAUAAUACCAGUGCUUUUAACUUAAUCUCUACAGUUCCACUUUUGCUCAAUAGUGAGUAAAGAAGUAUGUUAGGAAGCGUACAGUUGAAAGCUCCAAACAAAGAAAUGGUAAUGAUGGU
rnacentral:lncRNA from 1 species